UUGGUUAUUAGAAAAGCACAAACAUUCACAUUUCCAUAACAUUCCAUCCUCUUAUCACUUAUCACGUGUGAUGAUAAUCAUUACAUUUUAAUGUAAGCAUUUAGAUUAUAGCUUCUAUAUCAUAAUAUUCUAUACUCAUAUUAAAGUUAGGGAAAUCAAUGCAGAAAAAAACAGGCACUUCAUAAUUUCAAGCCCUUCAUUUUGGGUUGAUCAAUCUAAUUAAUGGUAAUACAAUUUUUUUAUUUUACCUUUAUUUAACUAGGCAAGUCAGUUAAGAACAAAUUCUUAUUUACAACGAAUGCCUAGGAACAGUGGGUUAACUGCCUUGUUUAGGGGUAGAAUUAUAUAUUUUUUUAACCUUGUCAGCUCUGGGAUUCGAUCUAGCAACCUUUCAAACAGGGAUUCCAACCAAGUUGCAGUCGUCCACUCUGGUUGUGGGGAAUUAUUCUUAGCAACAGCGGCAAUGUAUUCGGCGAGAUCAGUCAUAUUAGAAGAGUGAUCUGGGACAAAGGUACAACAUUCAUCGCCAUUGUUUGCACAAGUGUCCCCUUUACCUGCCAAAAGAUAGUUAAGAACCUCUCUGUUUUGCAGAGCCAAUUUACGCAAUUCUUUUAGCAUUGCUAAUUUUCUCUAUAUCUCUAGAGAUCUCCCGAAUUUGGCCUAGAGCACAUUCAUAUUAACUUUCACAGAGAAGAGAGAGAACACAUGUUAUAACAGUUUCACACCAACCUUGAUAAGAAUGGGAUUGGGGCAAGGUUAGCCCAAGCUACAAUCUAGUGGCUCUCCUCACAAUUUAGGGGCAUAGCUCUGUCUCUAGAAGCCUCUCCUUUCCAUGUCAUAAUUAUAAAUAUUGAUAAAUUAUCCAACCCAAAUUUAGAAUGACAGUCCUUAGUGCUUCACGUUGGUUCUAUCACGUAAAUUUAAGACCCUCAUCAAUAAAUCAAACAGAGUUUUAACGACUAACAAAUAUUAAUUAACAGGUGGGUUGUGUGUUGGUGCUGGCAUGUAUAUAGUAAAAAUCGUAGGGUAAAAACAAACAAAAUGGCCAGGCCUUACUUAAUUUGGGAGCUCCCUUAACAGCUGGAUCCGGGUACCUUUAACUGCUCUCCUAAGGCACUUGCCUUGGGCAUCCUUUCAAAGGGAGAGAUACAGAAUCAUUGAUAAACAUAGAAAAAAAACUUGAUAUACACAUCAGAUGAUACAGUGUCCCGUCAAGCUGAAUAGGCACCUUCUAAAGUAAACAAAGCCAGAGUCCCUCUCUUGUAAUCAUUGUCAUUUCGACCUGUUGCGUUGACAUACAAUUCUGUACAAACUAUCCCUGGGACAUAAACUUAGUCUCAAUAUAAAACCUGUUGUUUAACAAAUCUGCUAGGACCUUCAAAAAGUUGGUGCUGGCUUAUCAGCUCAAUAUUCGGUACUAAAAACAUUUACUUGGAUCUACUUCUUCUGGACACAGUUCCACGUAAUGGAAACAUAUUGUUGUUUUAGAUGACAUUACCUUCUUACUUUAAUCCCUGGUGCUACCCAUACUAUAGAAUUGAGUAAUACAUUGUCAAAAACGUGUCUUAUUCAAUUAUUCAUACCUCUGUCCCAAAUUUCCCAUCGUGUCUUGUACAGCCUGUUUGAAUUCAGUGUGUACUGGCAGCUAUUGUUCCACAGGAAGCUGAUCUCUAACCCAAACAACAGAUUACUUAAACACAAGAGCAAUGGACCAGGCCUUGAAGAGUGAGCCUGGUCCAAUGCUCAAUCCCUUUGUCUUACUACUUGAAAUUACUCAGAUAUUAUGUUAUUGGAGUGCUAUCUGAAAGCCAAUUACUAUUCACUUUGUUACUUUCACUAGUCUCCAUAUCUGUUUCCUUCUUUCCCAAUAGGAAGACCUUCUCAAUCACUUUGUUAAUACACACAGAUCACUCUCAAACAACAUUCUGUUUUCUCCCCUAUUGCAAGGUUUAAAACAAAACAAACAUGAUAACCUUCUCCAUAUUGGAAGGCAUUGAUUUCAUUUUAGUCUAACCUAACAAUGUUAGUCUAUAUAUUUAUUUCAAUUUUCUGUUGGAUAUUCACUUUCUGCUUCACACUUAUUAAAUGUCUAUUUUAAGCUUCAUAUGUAAUAUGCCAAAUGUAUAAAAUACAUUGGUCAAUUUAGAAGGGGAGAGAUAGGCAGUGCUAGCCUAGUUAUAAUAACUGUUUAUCAGUUCACUGUCAUUGGAAUGUUCUAUCCAUAAGGUUUCUGGCACUUGAGACAAAAUAGACUGGGAGGCAGUGUCAGACCCCCAGUCAUCCUGGGGGACUGGUUCAAUUUGCCUGCUUACUCAUUGGUUUAAUAUCUCAUCGUUUGGGAUAUCAACAAAAACUCCAUCAGAGGUACAAUCAAUUGUAGCCUUAAGUUUAGUUAACAGAAAAUCAUGUUCAACAUUCAUUGGUUCUAUUUAUAGUUUAAAUUGUUAGGGGUAAGUCAAGUCCCAUACAAUGCUUUAACCUUAUCAUACCUCAGAUUAUCCAUAAAGGGAUCACUCUGAACAUUUCUCAUAAUACCUUUGACACAACUUACAUAGUCUACAUGUGGGUGUGCAAAUUGUAUAUCUUUUUUUUUCUAUUGUUACAUCUCUAGUAACCCAUUAUGCUCAAUAUUAUGUUACUUUAUCUCUAAAGUUUCAAUCUCUUAUUAUCCAAAUGUCAAUCAGCUAUUUAUCCAUAUUUCUUAAUAUCCACAUUUCAAUCAAUCUUAUUAUUCAAAUUUCAAUCAGCUUAGUUUGUCAUAUCUCACAAUCACGCAACUUUCACAUCGACUUUCACUUUCACAAAAUCACUCCCUAAAAACAAAAUCCUAUGGAACAAUCCUUGGAUUGCUUUUCAGAAUGCACAUUGGUCCACAUGGACAACUAGGUGAAGGAUGUUUUGAACUAACAAAAAGAGUUCUACAAGCAGUUGUUACAAAAAUAACAAAAUAGCUUGAAGUGUUUUGUCCAAAUAUAGGUGGAGUCAACUAAUAAAAGAAUGUAUGACCUGACCAGAGAGGUCCAGGACCUGAAGAACAGUUUGCAGUUCUCCCAGUGUCUGCUUGAUGAGUUUAAACAGGAGAACGGCAAGAUGACAGCAAUCUGUAAAUCAUUGAGAGAGGACAUCAAUUCUGUGUAUGAAUCCAUGAUAACAAUGACGGAUAAAUCAAAUUAUCUCGAGGGACAAUCAAGACGGAACAACAUGGUUGUGGACGGAAUUGCAGAAUCUCCACGAGACAUGGAGGGAGUCUGAUGACAAAGUGAGGGAAGUGAUCUCAGAGAAAUUGAAGAUGGACCAGCGGAAGAUUGAGGUGGAGCGCACCAACAGAACUGGAAAUCCCACCACCGGUCCAGGUGACAUGCCCAGGCCGAGGUUGCUGUUCUGGAAGGUAGCUGUUCUAGAAAGAGCCAAGAACUUGAGAGGAAUGUACAUCUUCCUCAACAAGGACUAUCCUGAAGCUGUGCGCCAGAAGAGAAAAUACCUUACCCCAGCCAUGAAAGCUGCCAGAGCGAGUGUGGACAUUGCUUACAUCCGCUAUGACAGGCUCAUUGUCCACCCUCCCUCCUAAAAAUGCCUGGAAGGGAUGAGAGAACCAAGACUAUGGAUUCAUAGCUUUAACCUCACAGCACACACCACACUUUCGAACACCAACUGAUUAAUGGAUUGCAGAAUGUAUAUUUUUGUCUCUUGCUUUCUCUGAUAAGCUACCCAGGAAAGGGCUGAAAAUAGCCCAUAUUAAUAUAUGUAGCCUAAGAAAUAAGGUUAAUGAAAUCAAUAACUUGCUGACAUCAGAUAACAUUCAUCUAUUAGCCAUUUCUGAGACUCACUUAGAUAAUUAAUUUGAUGAUACAAUACAAGGAUAUAACAUCUAUAGAAGAGGCAGAAAUGCUUAUGGGAAGUGUUGCUGUAUAUAUUCAGAGCCAUAUCCCUGUAAUGCUUAGAGAAGCUCAUAUGUCAAGUGUUAUUGAAGUGUUGUGGUUUCAGGUUCACUUGGCCCAUCUAAAGCCUUUUCUUUUGGGGUGUUGCUAUAGGCCAACAAGUGCUAACAGUCAGUAUCUAAAUAAUAUGUGUGAAAUGCUUGAUAGUGUAUGUGAGGUAAACAGAGAGGUCUACUUUCUUGGGGACCUGAAUAUUGACUGGUUUUCAUCAAGCUGUCCGCUCAAGAGGAACCUUCUUACUGUAACCAGUGCCUGUAAUCUGGUUCAGGUUAUUAGUCAACCUACCAGGGUGUUUACCAACACUACAGGAACAAGAUCAUCCACAUGUAUCGAUCACAUUUUUAGAACUUUGUUCUAAAGCUGUAUCCAUACCCAUUGGAUGCAGUGAUCACAAUAUUGUGGCUAUAUCCAGGAAAGCCUAAGUUCCAAAAACUGUGCCUAAAAUUGUGUAUAAGGGAUCAUACAAAAGAUUUUGCUGUAGAUGAUGUAAAAAAUAUUUGUUGGCAAGUCAGUUAAGAACAAGUUCUUAUUUACAAUGAUGGCCUACAAAGGAACAGUGCUUUGUUCAGGGACAGGAUGACAGAUUUUUAAACCUUGUCAGCUCAGUGAUUCGAUCCAGCAACCUUUAAUUUACUGGCCCAACACUCUAACCACUAGGCUACAUAUCGCCCUAAAAUGAAUAAGGAGCAUCCAGAUGCUGCACUUCAUGAAUUUAUGAAAUAGCUUUUUCCAAUUAUUGAUAAACAUGCACCUGUUAAGAAGCUGACUGUUUGAACUGUUCAGGCUCAGUGGAUUGAUGAGGAAUCGAAAAACGUUACGGUUGAAAGAGAUGAGGCAAAAGGAGUGGCUAAUAAGUCUGGCUGCACAUCUGAUCCUCAUGUAGCUACCCUGCACACCAGCUGCCAAACCUUCAAUCUGCACUACAGCUAAAGUACACAGAACACUACAGCUUCCUCUUUCUAUGUAUAUUUGGGUGGACACUUGACUUUCUUAUCACCCCUUGCAACAUUUCUCCUUCACCCUGCUUGAGUUAGUGGGUUGGUUUAUCUAUCAAUCUAUCAAAGUCUCUCUGUCACUCUCUCUCUCUGUCUUUCUCUCUCUGUCUCAGUACAUUGUUGUAAUGAUGUGCAAACAGUUAAAGUACGAAAGGGAAAAUAAAUAAACAUAAAUAUAAGUUGUAUUUACAAUGGUGUUUGUUCUUCACUGUUUGCCCUUUUCUUGUGGCAACGGGUCACACAUCUUGCUGAUGUGAUGGCACUCUGUGGUAUUUCACCCAAUAGAUAUGGGAGUUUAUCAAAAUUGUAUUUGUUUUCGAAUUCUUUGUGGAUCUGUGUAAUCUGAGGGAAAUACGUGUCUCUAAUAUGGUCACACAUUCGGCAGGAGGUUCUCUCUCUCUCUCUCUCUGUCUCUCUGUGUUUCUCUCUCUCCGCCCACAUUAUAUCCCCUCUCGCUCUAUUUCUUACACGUCUAUCUUUAAGUUUCUGUAUCCCCAUCUCUUGUUAAAAAAGUGCCACCACUAACACCUGCCUCGUUGGGUCUGUCUCUCUUGAAACCAUCAUUCAGACUGUUCAUUUUAUAGCAACACAUUGGUGAGUUUACUUUUUUUUUUUUAAAUCAAUCAUAAUUCAUCAAAUCGCCCCUAUGUUUAGCAUUUUAUGGCGUGGAUCUGUUUGAACAUUUUCUCUCAACUUCCUAUGUGUGACCAUCUUGUCACGGCUCUUUCCACUCUCUGUAUGUCCAUCCUUCAGCUUCCCACUCUCCACUGAAUCUCUCCCUCCACAUCUCCUCCUCACUUUUCUUCCACCACUGUUUCUCUCCUUCCACUGUGUUUUUAUUCAGUCUUUUUAGGACUUUUACAUAUUUCCACCCCUUUUCUUUUUUUUGUGUGUGACCAUGGUGUAUUUAGUUUCAGAACUGUUAGAAGAAUCUUAGUUUAUGUAGUUCAGUCCUUGAGCUGUUCUUGUCUAUUGAGGUUUUGUAUUAUAUCAUGUUUUAUUACUUGUGUGGAGCCCAGGAAGUGUAGCUGCACCUUCAGCAACAGCUAAUGGGUAUCUGAAUAAAAUGCCAAUAACAAUCUACAAAAUGAAAUAAUUGCAUUGGGGGUGAAGGGUGUGGUUAAUGGUUACAUAUCAAGUGGGCCUUUGCUUAAAACAUUUAUGUUAUCUGUGCUAAUGCUGCAUAAGUGCUAUGCAUAUAAACAGAGUAUGUAAACAGCACAUCCCUCAGUGAGAUCCUUAUUAAAGAUCCUUAUUAAAUCAGUGUGCCACCCCAAUACAGCUACCUUUACAAAGGCAGUCUAAUUCUAAUAUUUCUCCUACUAAUUGGUCUUUUGACCAAUCACAUCAGCUCUGAAAAAGAUCUGAUGUGAAAAGAUCUACUGUGGUUGUUCAAAAGACCAAUUAGUGGAAAAAAGGUCAGAAUUGGCUGCCUGUCUAAACACAGCCUACUGUACCCUGCCUGCCUGCAUCACAUGAAAAUGUGUAAUGGGAAAUGUUCAGAUAUGCCUUCAACUUAUUGGCUGGUUGGUCAUAUGCAUAAAUGUAAAGGCAUUGUAGGAUGUAGAAAGAGAGAGAAAACAUUGCUUAACAUAUUUUGCAUAAUCAAGUUGGCAAUCUAGGAUUAACUAUGCCUUGUUGAUAACUUUAAUCUGAUGAGCAGAAUGUCACAUUUGUACGUCAUAUGAAACAACAAGUCCACAUACUCUACCGUUCCAAAGUUUGGUGUCACUGAGAAAUGUCUUUGCUUUUGAAAGAAAAAAAGCACAUUUUUAUCCAUUAAAAUAACAUCAAAAUGAUCAGAAAUACAGUGUAGACAUUGAUAAUGUUGUAAAUGACUAUUGUAGCUGGAAAUUGUAGUUUUUUUUGUGGAAUAUCUACAUAAGCGUACAGAGGGCCAUUAUCAGCAACCAUCACUCCUGUGUUUAAAUGGCACAUUGUGUUAGCUAAUCCAAGUUUAUCAUUUUAAAAGGCUAAUUGAUCAUUAGAAAACCCUUUUGCAAUUAUGUUAGCACAGCUGAAAACUGUUGUGCUGUUUAAAGAAGCAAUAAAACUGGCCUUCUUUAGACUAGUUGAGUAUCUGGAGCCAGAAAUGGCCAGAAAUGGCCAGAAACAUAGGACUUUCUUCUGAAACUCGUCAGUCUAUUCUGGUUCUGAGAAAUGCAAGAGGACAAGUACAUUAGAAUGUUUAGUUUGAGAAACCAACGCUUCACAAGUCCUCAACUGGCAGCUUCAUUAAAUAGUACCCGCAAAACACCAGUCUCAACGUCAACAGUGAAGAGGCAAGUCCGGGAUGCUGGCCUUCUAGGCAGAGUUCCUCUGUCCAGUGUAUGUGUUCUUUUGCCCAUCUUAAUCUUUUCUUUUUAUUGGCCAGUGAGAUAUGGCUUUUUCUUUGCAACUCUGCCUUGAACAAGAACAAGAAUAAGGGUUUUGUAACGAAUCUCUUCGUCGUCUGAGGAGGAGUAGGAAGGAUCAGACCCAUAUGCAGCGUGGUAAGUGUCCAUGUUAAUUUAUUAGACUGAACAUGAAACAGUUCUGUAAGGUGACAUACACUAAACAGAAAACAACUACCCACAAAUCAUAGUGGGAACACAGGCUACCUAAGUAUGGUUCUCAAUCAGAGACAACGAUUGACAGCUGCCUCUGAUUGGGAACCAUACCAGGCCAAAAGCAGAAAUACAAAACCUAGAACAAAAAAAUUGAAUGCCCACCCCAACUCACGCCCUGACCAAACUAAAACAGAGACAUAAAAAAGGAACUAAGGUCAGGACGUGACAGGUUUUCUAAUACUCAAUUAGACUUUUAAAAUUAGCUAACACAACGUGCCAUUGGAGCACAGGAGUGCUGGUAAUGGGCCUCUGUACGCCUAUGGAGAAAUUCCAUUAAAAAUCAGCCGUUUCCAGUCAUUUACAACAUUAACAAUGUCUACACUGUAUUUCUGAAAAAUUUGAUGUUAUUUUAAUGGACAAAAAAAUGCUUUUCUUUCAAAAACAAGGACAUUUCUAAGUGACCCCAAACGUUUGAAAGGUUGUGUACAUGAAUCCCAAUGCAUUCCUGUCUGAACCAGAACUAUAAAUGAAUCUUUACUCAAUAUGUCAGCUAUCGACACAGAUUUGGGGAAACCACAGGUGCACUUAUUUUAAAAUUAAUUUGUCGGCUCUGACAGGCAUCCAUAUUUAUCUAUACAAGCAUCCAUAUUCAUCUAUAUAACCGUUUCCAAUUGACUGUUAUAAUUAUUCAACUAGAAGUGAGCAAGACCGAAGGGAGAGAAAGCAUCUGCUGGCUUCCUGUUAGUGAGUCACACAGGCAGAAUCAGGGGGAGAAUCUCAAUUGCAUACUCCCCACGUCCUCUCUCCGCUCUCCUCGCCUCCUUCUCAAAACCCAUUGGAUGAGAAAAACAGAGGUCCCACCCCUCUGACCUUCUCCUCCAAUGGGUUUUGAGAAGAAGGCGAGGAGACAGGAGUGAGGACGCAAAGAGUAUGCAAUUGAGAUUCUCCCAUUGCCGCCGCCUCAUACUCACUUCCUGUGUUUGGGUGGUGUGACGUGCUGUAUCUGCAGGGACAGUACAGCACAAUGAAACAAUAGCAUGGCACAUCAAUCACCAUGACACCACAACUGUCAGAACCAUUCACAACCGGUCAAUGUGACAGUUUCUGAUUACAAUAAUCAUAUUAUUAUUCAUGGUCAGGUUUUAGUCUACAUUUAAAACCAGCCAUACUUUAUCCUGUAAAAUGUUUUUUUCGAGAGUCCACCUUUCCGCCACAAACAUUUCUAUUUCAGGUGUAAAUAUCUGUAUAUAUAUUUUUUAAAUGCUGCAUGGAUAUUGUAAUUGGGAGGUGAAAUGUUUUGCUUGUCAGGAGGUAUAAUGAACACUACUUAAUUAUACUGCAAACAUUUUCGGCAGUAGGUAGCUAAUGUUACUAUAUUUUCUUUACAGAUCCAGUCAUUAAUAAAUCAAUGUAUGGAUCACCUCCAAUUGAAAGGAAAUAAACUGGAUCUCCACCGCAGCAGUUUUACCUUGGAUUGAGCAAAGAUUUCUUCAACUUUUCUGAGAACUAUUUGAAGAGGCAUGACUAAUUCCGAUCCAGAAAUGAAAGACCAAACCACAUCCUCCUUUGUCGUCUUGACUGUCUUCUUCAUCCUGGUCACCCUCGUUGUCGUCCUGGUCGUCCUGUACAUGUGGCUAAACCGCCAGACUAAUGGCCAGUACACAGUCCACCAACUGGUCCUUGGGGAGGGUGGGGCCAGGGACCGGGUGAGGGGUGGGGUCCAAGUCCUAGAGGUGUGGUUCAGGCGUCGCCUUUGGCCUCUCAGUGAGGAUGAGGAGACUGUAGGAGAGGAGGAACAGAGAGACAAAGAGGAGGAUGUAGAGAGAGUGAGUGAGGGAGGGGAAAGCAAGGGGGAGGGGAAGAAGGAGGAGGGGGAUGAGAGGGAGGGCCGAGUGGAUGACUCUUCGGAUGAGUACUCCAGUGAGGAGGACUGUGGCCUGACGGAGAGUGUGAAGGUCAUGGACGAGAAGAAGGAGAGGAGAGAGUGUGAGGGGAAGCGAGAGGAGAAUAUGGAAGAAAAUGGGGAUAGCAAAGGUGAUGAGGGAGCAGUGGGAGGAGAAGAAAGUGGACAGGGAGGUUUGCUGAUACACCUGCAUCAGUCCUCUGGUAGUGCUAUCUGGUCUGAAGAUUAUGAGGGAGGCAAAGACAACAAUCAUGUGACUGCAUUGUGAGGAAAGGAUCAGAAAGGGGAAAGAGUUCCAUUAAUACAUUUUUGUACAGUAAUAGCGCUUGACAGAACAUUGGCUACUUGUCAUCAUCACCAUCAUUGUCAUAAUUGUCAUAAUUGUAAACCUUACAAACCAGUGUUAUAACAAUCAAGGCAGAAAACAACAGAGUGUACUAAAUCAAUCCAAUCAUCAAAGUGACUGACAAGAGCAACAAUUGCAGCUUGAAUACAUGAAGCUAUAUAAAUGUAUUUUAGAUAUAAAAUAUAAUUUUUAAACGGUAUCAAAGUUUCAUGGGUUUCAAAGUUUUGGGGUUUGCACUGUUGCUAUGAGAUAAUUUGUAUUGUAAAUAUUUGUGUUCUGUAUAUUUUAUGAAUUUAAUAGCUAUUUAGAUCCUUCUUCCUGGAGAUCUACUGUCCUGUAGGUUUUCAGUCUAAUCCUAAUUUAGCAUAUCUGAUUCAGCUAGUUAAGGUAUUGUUGAGCAGCUAAUUCGUAGAAUCAGGUCUGUUAAAUUAGGGUUGGACUGAAAACCCACAGGAAGGUAGAUCUCCAGGAAGAGGGUUGUGCAGCCCUGGCCUAUGGCUUGACUUUGUGCUAUACUGUUUCAUGUCUUAUGUGCAUGAUGUUUAUUUCCAGAGUGACAAUUUUAUACUUUUUAUUAUCUGAUACAACUUAAAGGCCCAGUGCAGUCAAAAUUAUGUUUUGUCUCAUGUUGUACAGCAACUCAUGGAACAAACACUGUAAAAGUGUGAAAAGAUUUGAUCAGUGUUAUUCCUGAUAGUUGCUGGUGGAAAAUACAAUCUACACAGGGCCUUUACAUUUUUAUUUUUGAUGAGAGACUGUUACAGAGGAGUGUAAAUGUUUUUUAAGGCUGGAACAUGUUGUUGAAUCGUAUUGUUGUAUGUUGUAAUUCUGUAAUGUAUUGAUUGUUGUUGCCUUUUUGGCCAGGUCUCCAUUGAAAAAGAGGGUCUUAAUGUGCUUUUCCUGGUUAAAUGAAGGUUAAGAACAUUUUUUUAAAUCAGCAGGUUUGCAUGGCAUUCCCCUCCCACUCAGACCACUUCCUGACAGUCCUAGCAAAAUUCUUGCCUGAGAAUUUUUUGUUGUUGCAAAAAGGCUAUUGUUGUCCAUUUUAAUGAAAAACUAUUAUAGUAAGGUUCUUAAUUGUUACCCAGAAGUAAUUUGAUAUUGAUAUAAAAACGGUUGCAUGAGGCUUUUAAGUGUUUGCGCUGAUGUGAUUAUAUUGUCUGUUUCCUUUUCUUAAAACUGCAUUGUUGGUUAAGGGCUUGUAAGCAAGCAAUUCACUGUUGUAUUCGGCGCAUGUGAUAAAUAAUAUUUGAUUUGAUUUAAUUUGAUUGAUAGUUUUUUGUUGAAAUAAAAAAAAUAUUUUCUAAAUGAUUAUUA
ensembl:lncRNA